AUUGAACGCUGGCGGAAUGCUUUACACAUGCAAGUCGAGCGGCAGCAUGGACUUCGGUCUGAUGGCGAGCGGCGAACGGGUGAGUAACAUAUAGGAACAUACCUAGUAAUGGGGGAUAACGCCGAGAAAUCGGUGCUAAUACCGCAUACGCCCUGAGGGGGAAAGCGGGGGAUCUUCGGACCUCGCGUUAUUAGAUUGGCCUAUAUCUGAUUAGCUAGUUGGUGAGGUAAAGGCUCACCAAGGCGACGAUCAGUAGCUGGUCUGAGAGGAUGAUCAGCCACACUGGAACUGAGACACGGUCCAGACUCCUACGGGUGGCUG
rnacentral:rRNA from 1 species